GGCUGCGGCGAGGCCUCGCGGGCCUCGUGGCUAUGGAGGCGGCGGCGGUUGAUGGUUGACCGUUGGCUCCAGGGUAGGGGUCGCGGCUCGGACGAUCGGCUCAGACCCGACCGGCGUGCGCGGGCUGCCGACGCUCGGCCUCGAGCCGGCGGGCGAGACCUAGUUGGGCUCCGCCAUGCCGGCUGGGAGUAACGAGCCGGACGGCGUCCUCAGCUAUCAGAGACCAGAUGAAGAAGCUGUGGUGGACCAGGGUGGGACCAGUACAGUUCUUAACAUUCACUAUGAGAAAGAAGAGUUGGAAGGCCAUAGAACUCUGUACGUGGGGGUUCGGAUGCCCCUGGGCCGGCAGAGCCACCGCCAUCACCGGACCCAUGGCCAGAAGCACCGGAGACGAGGGCGGGGCAAAGGCGCCAGCCAGGGGGAGGAGGGCUCGGAGGCCCUGGCGCAUGAUACACCAUCUCAGCGUGUUCAGUUCAUUCUUGGCACUGAGGAAGACGAAGAGCAUGUGCCUCAUGAGCUGUUCACAGAGCUGGAUGAGAUCUGUGUGAAAGAGGGAGAAGAUGCCGAGUGGAAGGAGACAGCCAGGUGGCUGAAGUUUGAAGAAGAUGUUGAGGAUGGAGGAGAACGCUGGAGCAAGCCUUAUGUGGCAACUCUUUCAUUGCACAGUCUCUUUGAGCUGAGGAGCUGCCUUAUUAAUGGAACAGUCCUUCUGGAUAUGCGUGCAAAUAGCAUAGAAGAAAUUUCAGAUCUGAUCCUAGACCAGCAAGAACUGUUCAGUGACCUGACUGACAGCAUGAGGGUUAAAGUUCGGGAAGCCCUUCUCAAAAAGCAUCAUCAUCAGAAUGAAAAGAAGAGAAAUAACCUCAUUCCCAUUGUUCGCUCCUUUGCUGAGGCUGGCAAGAAGCAAUCUGAUCCACAUUCCAUGGAUAAAAAUGGUCAAACUGUGUCUCCUCAAUCCGUUCCAACUACAAAUCUUGAAGUAAAAAAUGGAGUGAAUUGUGAACACAGUCCCGUGGAUUUAAGCAAGGUGGACCUUCAUUUCAUGAAAAAAAUCCCCACUGGAGCAGAGGCUUCAAACGUCCUGGUGGGAGAGGUGGAUACCCUGGACCGCCCCAUUGUCGCCUUCGUGAGGCUGUCCCCAGCUGUCCUUCUCUCAGGCCUCACGGAAGUGCCCAUCCCAACACGAUUUUUAUUUAUCCUAUUGGGUCCAGUAGGGAAAGGUCAGCAGUACCAUGAGAUUGGCAGAUCCAUGGCCACCAUCAUGACAGAUGAGAUUUUUCAUGAUGUGGCAUAUAAAGCUAAAGAACGAGAUGAUCUUCUGGCGGGGAUUGAUGAGUUCCUAGACCAGGUCACAGUGCUCCCUCCAGGGGAGUGGGACCCCUCCAUUAGAAUUGAACCACCCAAAAACGUCCCUUCCCAGGAGAAAAGGAAAAUGCCUGGAGUUCCAAAUGGAAAUGUUUGCCACAUAGAACAAGAACCACAUGGGGGCCACAGUGGGCCAGAACUUCAGCGCACUGGGCGGCUCUUUGGGGGCUUGGUGUUGGACAUCAAACGGAAGGCUCCCUGGUACUGGAGCGACUACCGGGAUGCACUCAGCUUACAGUGUUUGGCCUCCUUUCUGUUCCUGUACUGUGCCUGCAUGUCACCUGUCAUCACCUUUGGGGGACUGCUCGGAGAAGCCACUGAGGGACGCAUAAGUGCAAUUGAAUCCUUGUUUGGAGCUUCCAUGACUGGGAUUGCAUAUUCCUUGUUUGCGGGACAGGCUCUCACCAUCCUGGGAAGUACUGGGCCGGUGCUUGUGUUUGAAAAGAUUUUGUUCAAAUUCUGCAAGGACUACGCUCUGUCAUAUCUCUCUCUGCGAGCUUGUAUUGGACUGUGGACCGCCUUCCUGUGUAUUGUCCUUGUGGCAACUGAUGCCAGUUCCCUUGUCUGCUACAUUACUCGCUUCACUGAAGAAGCAUUUGCGUCCCUGAUUUGCAUUAUUUUCAUCUACGAAGCAAUAGAAAAGCUGAUUCACCUGGCAGAGACCUACCCCAUCCACAUGCACAGCCAGCUGGACCACCUUAGCCUAUAUUACUGCAGGUGCACUCUCCCGGAGAAUCCCAGCAAUCACACCCUGCAGUACUGGAAGGACCACAACAUCAUGACCUCAGAAGUCCCCUGGGCCAACCUGACCGUUACUGAAUGCCAGGAGCUGCAUGGAGAGUUCAUGGGAUCUGCUUGUGGCCAUCAUGGACCCUAUACUCCUGAUGUGCUCUUUUGGUCCUGCAUUCUCUUCUUCACCACCUUCAUCCUCUCAAGCACCUUAAAGACAUUUAAGACAAGUCGCUAUUUCCCAACCAGAGUGCGUUCCAUGGUGAGUGACUUUGCUGUUUUCCUCACUAUCUUCACAAUGGUGAUUCUUGAUUUUUUGAUUGGAGUCCCAUCACCAAAGCUUCAAGUUCCCAGUGUGUUCAAGCCAACAAGGGAUGACCGAGGGUGGAUUAUUAGUCCCAUUGGCCCCAAUCCCUGGUGGACUGUGAUAGCUGCAAUUAUCCCAGCUCUUCUCUGCACUAUCUUAAUAUUCAUGGACCAGCAGAUUACAGCUGUCAUCAUUAACAGGAAGGAACACAAGCUAAAGAAAGGCUGUGGCUACCACCUGGACCUGCUGAUGGUGGCCAUCAUGUUGGGUGUCUGCUCCGUCAUGGGCCUGCCGUGGUUUGUGGCUGCCACUGUGCUGUCCAUCACACAUGUGAACAGCCUCAAACUGGAAUCGGAGUGCUCUGCUCCGGGAGAACAGCCCAAGUUCUUGGGCAUCCGAGAACAGAGAGUGACAGGCCUCAUGAUCUUUGUACUGAUGGGCUGCUCAGUCUUCAUGACGGGUAUAUUAAAGUUUAUCCCGAUGCCAGUGCUCUAUGGAGUUUUCCUCUACAUGGGAGUUUCUUCACUACAGGGAAUUCAGUUCUUUGAUCGUCUGAAGCUCUUCGGGAUGCCCACAAAGCACCAGCCAGAUUUCAUCUACCUUCGGCAUGUGCCACUGCGCAAAGUGCACCUCUUUACCCUCAUCCAGCUGACCUGCCUUGUCCUGCUGUGGGUCAUCAAGGCAUCUCCAGCUGCCAUUGUCUUUCCGAUGAUGGUUUUGGCCUUGGUCUUUGUCAGGAAAGUCAUGGAUCUCUGUUUCUCUAAGCGAGAGCUGAGCUGGUUAGAUGAUCUCAUGCCUGAAAGCAAAAAGAAGAAGUUGGAUGAUGCCAAAAAGAAGGCCAAGGAGGCAGAGGAGGCUGAGAAAAUGUUAGACAUCGGGGGAGACAAGUUCCCCUUAGAGAGCAGGAAGUUACUAAGUAGUCCUGGAAAGAACAACAGCUUCAGAUGUGACCCCUCUGAGAUUAAUAUUUCUGAUGAGAUGCCUAAAACCACGGUCUGGAAAGCUCUCAGUAUGAAUUCUGGAAAUACAAAGGAAAAGAGUCUCUUCAACUAAGUCUGCUGGGAUGGAAGAUUUGGGCCAUGUGGUGCCCCAGGGAAGUUCUGGUUACAGAGGAGAUGGUGAGUCUCUCAGAGAAGAAGCACAGCCAAGUCCGGCCCCGUCCUUGGUCAUGUCAAAGCCAUGGCAAAGAAUUCAGUUACUCGUGGUGUGCACUGGAAGGCAUCCAGCUAUUGCCAUCCCAGCAGCCAGUCACCAGUUGUGACUGUGGAAGCAGAGACUGCCUCUUGUUGGUACUUUGCUUCUCUUUCUCUUCAGAACGGCCACCAUUGAAGACCCAGCUUCCCAUUUUCCAGAUACAUUCCCUGAAUCUCUCUGCUGGCCUGCCGAGCCAUAUGGAUCCAUUCUGCCGCUGAGGAUUCCUUCAAUGAGGUCCCUCUUCCUAAAGGAUGGGGUUGGGGAGUAGGAGGAGAGCAGAGAGAGAAAGGAAGGCUCUCCAGUCCCAAGAUAACUGUGGGCUCCUAGGGAGCCCUGGGCCUUGGUUUGCUUGCCUACUCUGGGGUGUGCCGGUCAGACCCAGAGCCUGCCAGGAGGGUCUGCUCCUAGGAUGUCAGCCAUCACUGGCACUGUCCAGCACCGCAGCCCCAAGAUGCCCCUGAGCCAGCAGGUUUUCAUCACUCCCUAGCCACCGUCUGCCUAAGUCAGUGAGAACCAUGGAUAAGGAAAGGGCCAAGAGGGACAUCAGUUGUUCAGCUUAGGCAGGAAAAGCCCCAGGGGGAAAAUCAGUCAUGGUAAGUGAGGAUAAGCAGCUUCUCUUGGUUUCACUGAGGACAGAGUAAUAGAAUGAGCUUAACUUGCUACUGAAGGAAUCCAUUUAGAGAACCAGAAAGAACUUCCUAGCGUGAAGAUUUGUUGUAAUGUCUUCUUUCUAGAUAUCUGGGAAAGAUUUGAUAAUAGUGUUUGUGAGUAGAAAGGGAAAUAAGGGUUUUAUUGGCCAUAUUGUGGAAGCGUCCAUGUCUUGCUGCUGUCUCUUGAGGACACAUUCUGAUUCCGUAACUGGAGAGAUCCAAAUGCUUACGAAUGUCUCCUUGGCUGCCUUAGUAGCGAAUCAUUGUCGAUUCAUUGGACCAAAACCACCUUCAGCCCUGCGGUUUCUUCCUCAUAGAUUUCUUUUGGUUGACAAAUGUCUUAGUUCUCAGAUGUAAAAAGCCACAUUGGGAAGUGAACAUUAAAUUGUGAGAUUAAUUUUGGUAUUAGUUUAAAACUAUAUUUAUAGUUUUUCUCUUCUCUUCUCUGUUGAAAUGAAUAUGAAGGGUAUGAGCUCCAGUGUAUAUUAGCCUUCCCUUCCUUUGUGCACAGAAUGUGACCAGCAAGCACUUUGGUACCCAGGGAAUUUGAUCAUACUGGUUUUCCAUCCUGGAAAAUCUUUGUAUAGUGGGACAUCCCCCAGUAUGCUCUCCUACAUAGGUGAAGAGCUGGCUACUUAACUUUAUUGAAUUUUACAUUCCUUAGACUCUUAAAAUAUAUUAGUAUAUUCUAGUCUUACUCUAUGGACUUUUGAUAUUGAAGGAAUCUUGCAUUUCUUUAAUAUUUCUCUAUCUCUUAGAGCCACAGUUAUUUUAAUACAUAGAUCAUUUUCAAAAUAUUAAACAAUUGGCACAAGAUGGACACCAGCCUCUCAGAACAGAUGCCUGCUGUAAACAAGCAGUGUGUAUGGUCAUACCGAUGCCUAUUGGCUGAACAUCCCACUGCUUUCAAAUAUUAAAAUGAUAUCCCUUUGAAAUGUAGGUAUUAUUUCUGGUUUGUCUGAUUUCUACUCACAAAGCUAUUAUAGUGACAGCCUUGGCUUCCUUUUUAUAUGGUACAGACAGGAACAGACAUGCUUCUUUAAACUACAUGAGCAUUAAAACCUUUGUGAGCCAAAGCUUCACAUUUUAUCAUUUUAGGAUAAAUAUAAUAGUUGUACCCAUUUACCUGCCUACUUUAGAAAAACCAGGAGGCAACUUGCCACUGGGAAAAGCUUACUUGCUGACUUCCCCUGUCUCUCUCCGGCUGCUUUCUCCAGCUUGCCUCCUUUGUCAUCCUCUGUUCCCUGAGAACCUCUCCCUUUUCUUCCUCCCUCUUGCCCCUCUGUGUAAGGAAGUUGGUGACUGCCUUGCCUGUUCCCUAGCCUCAGCGUGGCUGUAAGGAAUGUGACCGGGAAAAGUCCCUCUCCCAGUACACUGAUGUCUUGUGAUGCCUUGUGUACGUUGGCUUCCGGAGAGCAGGGAACCUGUCUGUGUUAAUUCUGUGCAGUGCCAUUAAAGGAUCACGUGUGCACCUUUGAGCCCUUCCCAAGCCAGACCCUCCCAGGUUAGUGCCCCUUAGGAAUGCUGGCUCCUUUGAAAGCCUGUACCAAUCAUUUUAGGCCACUGGAUUUUUCUCAAACAAUAGCCAGCCUCAUUUCUGCUACAUCUCAGUGGUGGAACCAUUCCCUACUCUUACUCUCUCCUCUUUCCCAACCUCCACCGCUCACUCACCCGCAGUCCUGAAUGCCUCCUAACUCAGGUCUGUGGCUGGUGAGGUGGUGGCAGAAUCAAGCUGGGCAAUGUUUGGGGUAAGAAACUGGGAGCAGAGGUAAAGCAGCAGCAGUGCAUGUGUAUGUGUGCAUGUGUGUUUAUCGAUGAAUGAGAGUGUAUCCAUAACACUGCACUGCUGCUAUUAGACAGCCCAGCGUGCCUAAGCUUUGAGGAAAUAAAAUAAUAUGAUCAUUCUCCCAUUUAUAUGUUCCUGUCUCAGACUUCUCUGAUAGAAUAGCUUGAGGACAAAUACAGGCAGAUUAAUCUGUAGAAAAGGGUUUUUAAGCUCAAUAUUAAGAAGAAACUGACUUAGAGGUGGAAAACAAGGCACAUAGUCAGGUGGCUUCUGUGCCCAGGUUUGCUUGAGCCAGAAAAGUGGUCCAUCUCUUAGGACAAGGGGAGAUUUUAGGAGUAGUUUGAGUGUUGGCAGGCCAGUGCUCCAAAUGGGCUAGUAGUCUAGAGGUAGGAAGGGAGGGAGGCCAGGGAUUUAAGAAAGUGAUGGUGAGCAGAGUCUUGGUUCUGAGCGGAAGAACUGGCCUUGCUAAGUGGGUGGGUUACUUCCUGGCUCAUGACUUUUAGGGAAGAGUUGGUCUAGAGGAAAGGUGAGGACCAGCAGAAAUAUGCUGUGAAAUUCCCAAAUAUGUUUGGUUGCAUAAAAUGCAGGCUAGCUCUUUGUGGUUAUAUGUGGUUUCAAAGUUCUGAUGAUUGGAUUAUCAGAAGGUCUUUACCACAUAUAGCUCCUAUCCCCAUCUCCUUAUUCAUAUCAGUUUGCCUUUGGAUAGUGGGGUAGUGAAAACCUUGUAUUUCCCAAUGACAGUGUGAAUAGUUGCUAAUUCUCUUCAUCUGGGAUGUGACUUUUACAUUAAUCAUAGAUGUUUGAUAAAAAUCUGGUAAGUGCUAAAUCUCAGGCGUGGUUGACAUCUCAGGCUCUGGCAACUGUGGCUGAUAUCUCUGGUUGUAGAAAUCUGUGGUUUCUGGUCAUCUAAAAAAGACAGUUCCCAGCUUUACUUUAUUUUCUACCUACUCAACUCUCCAGACUUCCCUCUUAUUAGAGGAGUCAGCAAGUCUCCCUGCAUCUUGUCUAUCGAUUUCAAUGUUCAUGUUCUGAGUCUCCACAUUUUCUUGAAAGCAUAGGGGAAUGCUUGACCGCAGGGCCCCUGGCUUUCCUUUGAACUAGCACCAGAAAUGCUAUCUAGUAUGUUCUCUCUACUACUUAUCAGCUUCCCUAAAUUUCUUCUUUUGCAAGAGAGUUAGCCCCUCCUCUUAGGACUUUGAAGCAGUCUCUGCUAGUUUGCGUCUGCAUUUUCCUCGGAAUUCUCAGGUUCCCAACCCACCUCCCAGCAGGGCAUUCAGGUACCCUGCACUGAAUGAUCUCAGCCAUCUUGACUUUCUUUUGGCUGUAGUUGUCGGGCCUCCCAUAGGAAGAAAUCCUUCCCGAGCCCUGGCUGGCCAAAGGAGACAUCAUAUAACUUCCAUUCCCUUUUACUGACUCAGCUUCUUCAAGUACCCUUUCCGCUUUUUUCUCAGUCUUUCAAAUUCUUGCAGGGAAGAAGUUCUUGGUCAGAAGUCCAAAAAAUCACCACCAGUUGGGGGUGGUUAGGGACAUGAGGAGUUUGGACAGGUCUAGGGUUUCCUCAAAAGGCGACUUUAUGGUUAUUUUCCUUAUGUAGUGUAAAGGACUAAGGAUUCUCAAGCCCCAGGCUCAUCCAUAUUUCACUGUACACUGAAAAAGACAUUCUAGAACCAAACAGAAGCGGUUUUUCUACCAAAUAAAUCUAUUCUUUAUGAAUCUUGAUGCCCUUGUCUCUUAUAUUAACUAUAGAGAAUGGGCAGUUGACUUCAUUAACAUUUCUUUACCAGAAAGGAGGCUACUUUUCAUAACCAAAAGAGGUGUGAAGUAACUGUAUUACCGUUUGAAACAUGAAAAGAGGACAGGAGUGUUAUAUGAAUCUUUUCAAUGGGAAGACUCAGAAAGUGGAAUGAUUCAUCCAUAAGCAUAAUUCUUCUAGGAGAUUCUGUGCUCAACGGGAAUGGGAUGGUUUCUGAUCCUUUUGAAAAAAAAGGACUAGAAUUUUUCUUAAACCUAACCCACUUUCAGCAUUGGAGAAUACAGAACCUUUUCUUCUUGCUGGUGGCAUUAAUAUCUCCUGAGACAGAGAGAAACCUCCCACGGCCCUUUACUGAGCCUAUCAGGAGCCUGCAGAGGCUUGCUUCUCUUAGCAGGUUUGCAGUUGACUCUUGACAUGCAGGUUUUUCACACGUGCAAUAAUGUUGGAAACAGAAUACCCAACUGAAUGUGCAAUUACUCCUUUCGCAAAAGAGGCCAAAAUCCUCCUCCCCCCUCCUUUCUCCCAUAUUCACUCCUCCAAGAUGAUGAGCCUCCCUCCUGUUUAUCUGUGUCUGUCUGUCUGUCUGACUGGUUCGAUAUUGCUGCCCUCCCAAGCUAAUGGUGUCAGAUGGAGAGCAAAGCAAUCCUCCAUGGAAGGGGACCACUUGAGGUGCUGGUACAUUUCCCUUGUUUUCUAUGUUCUUCUUUCUAGUAGGUCUCAUGUAGAGAUAGAGAUAUUUUUGUUCUGGAGAUUCCAAAGUAUAUAUUUUUAGUGUAGGAAAUGUACCCUCUCUACACUCCAUGGUGUAAAUAGAACCGAGAACAAACUGUCAUUGUGCUAAUCCCAUAGCAAUCUGCAGUAGGACUAGGACCCCUCUCCCUCACCACCAGGUCCCACGGUCUGUGUCUGUGAGCCAGGGGAGGUGGCUGUACCACCUCUGCCCACCCAGACCUUCCUGUGCUCGAUGAGUGAAUAAUAAAGCCUGUGUAAACCAUU